GACCAGUGUUUCCACAUAGGUGAUUCAACAGCAGCACAAUAAUACAAUUCUGAGAAGCAUUACAGCGACAUAUAAAUGUGUCCGACACGAUUCCUUACCGGUUAACGUUGUGGCUGGUGACAUUAUCAUGUUAACAUUUUCACUGUGUUACAGUUAUUGCCGUUUCAAUGUUUCUGAGAAUAUUACAGAUUCAUUAUGUUCAUUUCUCACCGAGCUGUCCAUCUGACCUUUUUUUGUUCUCAGACAAAGGUCUUUGGUGUGCCCUUGGAGCGCUUACCAUGUUCUCAGAUGGAGUAUGGGAGUGUCCCUUGUUUUCUGGUGGAUGCAUGCAUGAAGUUGCUGGAGCAUGUCGACACAGAGGGCCUGUUCAGAAUAUCUGGCUCUCUUGCUCGCCUGAAGACACUGCAG